rnacentral:sRNA from 2 species
AUGUAUCCCACGUGCCCACCGGUUCCUCCGCGCCGCCCGCACCACCUGACGACUGCUCGCGACGUGUUGUUAGCG